rnacentral:lncRNA from 1 species
GUGGGACGCUUCACCCCCAGCUACCCUCUGGGAUCAGGGCCCUGACAAAUGCCAUCUCCUUGAACUCUAGGAAACCUGGCGCUGAAAGUGGAUAGCCUGAUGGCAAGGGUCUUCCGAGGCAGCCACUCUCUGCAGGCUCCGGCCACUAAGUGACUGCUGUCCUUGGCCCAUUAGGAACCCAAGAGGACAGGCGAGGGCUCCCUUCCUCCCCGAUCCUCGACGCCGCGUACCAGCUUCCCGAGUGCGCGCUGGAACGCAGGCAGGCCCUGCGCUCCUCUCUCCCCUCUGCGCCCUGGUGGUGGUGGGCUUCCGGCCACACUUCUCGCAGGGCAGGCACCCUGAAAGGGCACCCCGCAAGCUUGCCCAGGCCCGCUCUUCUCCGAAGUCCUAUAGUUCCACUGGGCAGCAGAAGGAGGCGGACAGCCUACUCCUGCCCCUCGGCCGGACGACCCGCGGCUGCCGCGCCCAGCACCUCUGCACCUGCCUGGCUGAGCCCAGCUGAAGCGAGGCAAAGCAGAGGGGCUGCGGUACCUCUCCAGAGGGCCCUGCUCUGGCUCCCCAGGCCCGAGUUCCUCAUGGUGGAUUCAGCCGAGGCCGAAGGUUCGCUUCCUGAGAAGCCUGCGGGACGCGGGCUGCCUCACAGCGCAGGCUGCAGGCUAAGGACCGGCUGCUGCCGCGCUGCUCCGCGCGCAGGGAAAGUGGAGCUGGGCCUGGAUGGGAGGAAGGAUUUCCUCGCCUCUUGGGCGCGGCCGCUCCGGCAGGGCCACACAAGUCCCCCUUUGUGGAGGGCCCUGCUCCUGCGCACACCGAAGUCAGCGAACAAUAGCGCAAUGUUGCCGCCGUUGGCCCCGCUCUCCCGGCCACACCGCGGCGGCAGAAGGCGAGGAAACCGGGUGGCGCUUUUUUAUAGCCACAAAUAUAAAAUCGGGGCUUCCCCCCCUUUCACUCGCCUCUUGCCCCAACGCCGAUAGAAAGCAGAUAAAUUUAUGAAGGGCGAGCUAAGAGAAUAAUUACAGGGUGACGGCCGUUAAAUUUUAUUUCCAGUCCCAAAGGCAAAACCUGUGAUUUUAUUGCAAACAUCUGGAAAGACCGAGAGGUGGGCAUGCUGCUGGUUUAAAAUAAAAAUAGAAGAUUUUUAUUUCUCGAAAACAAAAACCAUCAUGAAAGACCUUUUGCCCCCACGGUCUUUUAUUUUUAAAAAGUGUGAGGGGGGUGGUAGAAUAGACAAGGAUGCACGCGGCCCGAAAGCCCACUGGGACCCUCGAGAGGCGCUCUGCUGCACCUCGGGCCGGCCGCUUGGUCUCCUGAACCGACUUUAGGCGGGCGUCUCCAGAAAUCUGCUCCUUCCCCUACGCCGCCUCGGACCACUCACGCAGCCCCUUGCGUGCUCUCCUGUUGCUUUGGGAUGCCAGUUUGGGAAAAGAAGUGAAAAGUGGGAAUGCGGGCUUCAUAUUCCCGAAAGAUUCCA